rnacentral:rRNA from 1 species
AACCUGGUUGAUCCUGCCAGUGGCCACCGCUAUUGGAUUUCGAUUAAACCAUGCGAGUCGAGAGAUUUCGGAUCUCGGCGGACCGCUCAGUAACACGCGGACAACCUGCCCUUGGGUGGGGGAUAAGCUCGGGAAACUGAGUACAAUACCCCAUAAGCCAUCUCUGCUGGAAUGCUUGAUGGCUGAAAGCUCCGGCGCCCAAGGAUGGGUCUGCGGCCUAUCAGGUCGUAGUUGGUGUAACGGACCAACUAGCCUUCGACGGGUACGGGCCUUGAGAGAGGUCGCCCGGAGAUGGACUCUGAGACAUGAGUCCAGGCCCUACGGGGCGCAGCAGGUGCGAAAACUUCGCAAUGUGGGAAACCACGACGAGGGAAAUCCAAGUGCUUGCACAAUGUGUAGGCUGUUUCCUUGUCUAAAACACAAGGAGAGUAAGGGCUGGGUAAGACGGGUGCCAGCCGCCGCGGUAAUACCCGCAGCCCGAGUGGUGGUCGCUAUUAUUGGGCCUAAAACGUCCGUAGCCUGCCCGGUAAAUUCUUGGGGAAAUCGGCCAGCUUAACUGGUCGAAGUCCGAGGAGACUGCCGGGCUUGGGACUGGGUGAGGUCAGAGGUACUUCAGGGGUAGGGGUAAAAUCCUGUAAUCCUUGAAGGACCACCAGUGGCGAAGGCGUCUGACUAGAACGGAUCCGACGGUAAGGGACGAAGCCCUGGGGCACAAACGGGAUUAGAUACCCCGGUAGUCCAGGGUGUAAACGCUGUGGGCUUGGUGUUGGGAGUCCCACGAGGGCGCCCAGUGCCGGAGAGAAGUUGUUAAGCCUACUGCCUGGGGAGUACGCUCGCAAGAGUGAAACUUAAAGGAAUUGGCGGGGGAGCACCGCAACGGGUGGAGCGUGCGGUUUAAUUGGAUUCAACGCCGGAAAACUCACCGGGAGCGACGGUA